rnacentral:rRNA from 1 species
CCUACGGGGAGGCAGCAGUGGGGAAUAUUGGACAAUGGGCGAAAGCCUGAUCCAGCCAUGCCGCGUGUGUGAAGAAGGCCUUCGGGUUGUAAAGCACUUUCAGUGGGGAAGAAAGCCUUGGGGCUAAUACCCUCGAGGAAGGACAUCACCCACAGAAGAAGCACCGGCUAACUCCGUGCCAGCAGCCGCGGUAAUACGGAGGGUGCGAGCGUUAAUCGGAAUUACUGGGCGUAAAGCGCGCGUAGGCGGUCUGAUAAGCCGGUUGUGAAAGCCCCGGGCUCAACCUGGGAACGGCAUCCGGAACUGUCAGGCUAGAGUGCAGGAGAGGAAGGUAGAAUUCCCGGUGUAGCGGUGAAAUGCGUAGAGAUCGGGAGGAAUACCAGUGGCGAAGGCGGCCUUCUGGACUGACACUGACGCUGAGGUGCGAAAGCGUGGGUAGCAAACAGGAUUAGAUACCCUGUAGUC